rnacentral:rRNA from 1 species
CGGGGUGCAGCAGGCGCGAAAACUCUACAAUGCAGGCAACUGCGAUAGGGGAACAUCGAGUGAUCCUCAUAUUGGGGGUCUGUCCACCCGUCUAAAAAACGGGUGUUAGCAAGGGCCGGGCAAGACCGGUGCCAGCCGCCGCGGUAAUACCGGCGGCUCGAGUGGUGGCCGAUAUUAUUGAGUCUAAAGGGUCCGUAGCCGGCUUUGCAAGUCUCUCGGGAAAUCCAGCGGCUUAACCGUUGGUCGUCCGGGGGGUACUACAUUGCUUGGGACUGGGAGAGGUAGGAGGUACUCAGGGGGUAGGAGUGAAAUCCUGUAAUCCUUUGGGGACCACCGGUGGCAAAGGCGUCCUACCAGAACAGGUCCGACGGUGAGGGACGAGAGCUAGGGGCACGAACCGGAUUAGAUACCCGGGUAGUCCUAGCCGUAAACGAUGCUCGCUAGGUGUCACAACAGUCGUGAACUGUUGUGGUGCCGUAGGGAAGCCGUGAAGCGAGCCACUUGGGAAGUACGACCGCAAGGUUGAAACUUAAAGGAAUUGGCGGGGGAGCACAAGGGCGAAUUCGCG